GAUGAACGCUGGCGGCGUGCCUAAUACAUGCAAGUCGAGCGAACAGACGAGGAGCUUGCUCCUUUGACGUUAGCGGCGGACGGGUGAGUAACACGUGGGUAACCUACCUAUAAGACUGGGAUAACUUCGGGAAACCGGAGCUAAUACCGGAUAAUAUUUCGAACCGCAUGGUUCGAUAGUGAAAGAUGGCUUUGCUAUCACUUAUAGAUGGACCUGCGCCGUAUUAGCUAGUUGGUAAGGUAACGGCUUACCAAGGCAACGAUACGUAGCCGACCUGAGAGGGUGAUCGGCCACACUGGAACUGAGACACGGUCCAGAAUCCUACGGGAGGCAGCAGUAGGGAAUCUUCCGCAAAGGGCGAAAGCCUGACGGAGCAACGCCGCGUGAGUGAUGAAGGUCUUCGGAUCGUAAAACUCUGUUAUUAGGGAAGAACAAACGUGUAAGUAACUGUGCACGUCUUGACGGUACCUAAUCAGAAAGCCACGGCUAACUACGUG
rnacentral:rRNA from 1 species